rfam:Canis lupus familiaris chromosome 14, whole genome shotgun sequence.
AUGCUCCACCGGCAGCACAUACACUAAAAUUGGAAUAGUAAGGAAAUUAGCAUGGUCCCUGUACAAGGACAACAUGCAAAUUCAUGAAGUUGUUCCACCAUUUUU